UAUUGGUCUGAAAACCUGACUUAUGAUAUGUCAGCAUUCAGGAAGUAAGCAGAGAGAAACAGUUAUAAUUGGGAGAGGAAAGGGAACAGAGUAAAGGUUACCCUUAAAAAACAAAAGAUGUACUACAUUUUGAAAUAAAACUGGCAAAAUUAAUUAUAUCUGUAGAGUUAACAGUGAUAAAUAAGUUGACAAGAAUUAGAGCCCAAACUUUGAAAAAUAUUGGGUGGCAGAAAAUUCUUCCCUGGAUGCCUUAUUUAAUUUAAAUUUGCUAAUAAGCUCCAUUGCCUUUAUCCAGUCAGUGGGGCAAAUUUCCAUGGAUAAUGAAGAUGAAAACCGUGAGUUCCCUUAUGCAAUCAGACCACUUGCCAGCACCUGCCUCCAUUUCCUUCCUGGUGAACAAACCGCAUUCUGCCUCCGAGGAUUGUCCUUGGACUUGGGGAAAGUGAGAAUAAAUGUAUAGUCCAUUUUGAAUCUGAUAAGAUUCCAGGCAGCAUCUUCAGAAUUCUGACCCACUAAGCUAGAAAAGGCCUUUCAGAUUCCCAACUGUCAUUAUCAAAACAGAAGCUAGAAAAGCUAGUCUUUCUUUCAUCCAUUCACAAAGCAAACAAAGUCCAUAUAAGUUUAUUGAAAGUCCAUUGACAAGCGAUGUGAGAGGAAACUUCUUUUUCAUAACAUCCAAGGUGGAAUUCUGAUAGAUCCUUAGAGAGCAAAAGGUGACCAUUAAAAUUUGAAUCCCUUUACUUUAUUUCAUACAGCUCAUCCUACAUGUCUAAUAUUGAGAAUAGACUCCAGAAUAUCUAUGCCAAGGAUUCAAGUGAGGGCAAAAUAUAGCUUUACUGCCAGUGUGGGUAUCUGUCCAACAUCCCCUCUAGGGGUGCAGGGGUGUUGAACCUGGGCUCUAGCCCCGGGGUUGCACUGGGUGAGGGGGAGACCAUGGCAUGGGAUGGGCCAAUCUGGACUUGACAGUGAUUUGAGAGGCGGCCUCCAACAAGGGUUGCCAUGCAAUAUUUGGGGCAUACUAAUAUUAAAAAAUUAUUUGUUUUCUGUCUGAAAUUCAAUUUUUUUGACUUGAUAUUUUAUCUGCGUAUUUUCUGUACUUAUUUGUAUUUUAAAAUCCUGUGUUUUAUCCAGUAGCCUGACUCUAAUCACCAUUUCCAAAACUGAAGAACAGAGCCAAUGUGUCCCUCCAAAGGGGCCAGACAGAAAGAUGCCUUAUGUAAUAUCUACUAUGGAUUCACUAGCGUUGACCAGCACAGUAGCGGCACUGUAACUCGGGCCUGAAGGAAGCUCACCUAACACAGAGAUUUUCUCCGUAAAAUCAUCACAGCCUUCCUGCACUUACACACUCUAGACAGAACUUCAGCACUACACUUGGGGGCCAUUCUAAAGAGCAAAAUCACCAAAAAGUCCUCUCCUUGGGGCAUGGCCACUCUCCAGCAGAUCAAGGUGUCUGGUUUGACCCAAACCUCCACUCUUAUUUUCUGCUUAAACUCAGAGUACC
rnacentral:lncRNA from 1 species